rnacentral:rRNA from 1 species
UACGUAGGGGGCAAGCGUUGUCCGGAAUCAUUGGGCGUAAAGAGCGUGUAGGCGGUUCAGUAAGUCUGCUGUGAAAGUCCAGGGCUCAACCCUGGGAUGCCGGUGGAUACUGCUGGGCUAGAGUACGGAAGAGGCGAGUGGAAUUCCCGGUGUAGCGGUGAAAUGCGCAGAUAUCGGGAGGAACACCAAUUGCGAAGGCAGCUCGCUGGGACGUUACUGACGCUGAGACGCGAAAGCGUGGGGAGCAAACAGG